UACGUAGGGGGCAAGCGUUGUCCGGAUUUAUUGGGCGUAAAGAGCGUGUAGGCGGUCAGGUAGGUCCGUUGUGAAAACUCGAGGCUCAACCUCGAGACGCCGAUGGAAACCAUCUGACUAGAGUCCGGAAGAGGAGAGUGGAAUUCCUGGUGUAGCGGUGAAAUGCGCAGAUAUCAGGAGGAACACCGGUGGCGAAGGCGCCACUCUGGGCCGAAACUGACGCUGAGGAGCGAAAGCGUGGGUAGCAAACAGG
rnacentral:rRNA from 1 species